AUGACGGAGGCUCUGAAUGACACAUACUUGGGAUUACCAACUACCCUAGGACUGGAUAAAACAAACAGCCUUCAAUACUUGAUUGAUCGGUUAAUUGUGAAACUUACAGGAUGGAAGGAAAAGUGUCUGUCUUCGGGAGGUAAGGAAGUGCUUAUCAAAUCUGUUGCACAAACCAUACCAACGUACGCGAUGUCGGUCUUCAAAAUUCCUAAGAAAAAUUUCAAAGGAAUUACAGAUGCGAUCUCUCGUUACUGGUGGGGCGAUGACGCAUCACAUAAGAGAAUGCACUGGUUUGCCUGGUGGAAGAUGUGC
rnacentral:rRNA from 1 species